AACUCGGUGGUGUAGCGGUAGCACGCGUCUUCGGUUGGAUGAUGCGCUGGUUCGACUCCCGCUUGAGGUG